UACGUAGGGUCCAAGCGUUAUCCGGAAUCACUGGGCGUAAAGCGUCCGCAGCCGGAAGCUUAAGUGAGGUGUUAAAUCGUGUGGCUCAACCAUAUCGAUGCAUCUCAUACUGGGUUUCUAGAGGAUGGCAGAGGCAAGUGGAAUUAGCAGUGUAGCAGUGAAAUGCGUAGAUAUUGCUAGGAACACCAAUGGCGAAGGCAGCUUGCUGGGCCAUUUCUGACGGUCAUGGACGAAAGCGUGGGGAGCGAACAGG
rnacentral:rRNA from 1 species